rnacentral:rRNA from 1 species
GCAACGAGCGCAACCCCCGCCGUUAGUUGCCAGCGGUUCGGCCGGGCACUCUAACGGGACUGCCCGCGAAAAGCGGGAGGAAGAGGGGACGACGUCUGGUCAGCAUGGCCCUUACGGCCUGGGCGACACACGUGCUACAAUGCCCACUACAAAGCGAUGCCACCCGGCAACGGGAGCUAAUCGCAAAAAGGUGGGCCCAGUUCGGAUUGGGGUCUGCAACCCGACCCCAUGAAGCCGGAAUCGCUAGUAAUCGCGGAUCAGCCAUGCCGCGGUCGAAUACGUUCCCGGGCCUU